AGAAAGAUAAGCUAAUGCAAGCUACUGGGUUCAUACCCCAGGUAUAGGGGCUACACCCCUUCUCUCUA
rnacentral:tRNA from 1 species